GGGCCGGGCCGGGCCGGGCUGGGCUGGGCUGGGCUGGGCUGCGUGGGGGCACCUGAGCCGGCUUCCCUUCUCUGCCUGUCUUGCACUGACCUCU
rnacentral:miRNA from 1 species